rnacentral:rRNA from 1 species
GGCGGCGUGCUUAACACAUGCAAGUCGAACGAAGAGCGAUGGAAGCUUGCUUCUAUCAAUCUUAGUGGCGAACGGGUGAGUAACGCGUAAUCAACCUGCCCUUCAGAGGGGGACAACAGUUGGAAACGACUGCUAAUACCGCAUACGAUCUAAUCUCGGCAUCGAGGAUAGAUGAAAGGUGGCCUCUACAUGUAAGCUAUCACUGAAGGAGGGGAUUGCGUCUGAUUAGCUAGUUGGAGGGGUAACGGCCCACCAAGGCGAUGAUCAGUAGCCGGUCUGAGAGGAUGAACGGCCACAUUGGGACUGAGACACGGCCCAGACUCCUACGGGAGGCAGCAGUGGGGAAUCUUCCGCAAUGGACGAAAGUCUGACGGAGCAACGCCGCGUGAGUGAUGACGGCCUUCGGGUUGUAAAGCUCUGUUAAUCGGGACGAAUGGUUCUUGUGCGAAUAGUGCGAGGAUUUGACGUACCGGAAUAGAAAGCC